AGGAGGCCGAGACCAAGGGGCUUGGCGGGGACGGAACGGUGAGGUCAGAGAAUGCUGCAGAGGGGACAUUGGGACCAGGUCUUGCAGUGAGUUGAAGUGCUCCAGGCAGAGAGCGCCGGUGGGUCUUUCCUGGCCAGGCCGCAGGGGGCCUUUGGGAAGCACCCGAGGCCUAUAACCUUCGGAGCGUUUGUCAAGCUCUAAUGAGAACUGGAAAGCUUCAGCUUCCCGAGGUGGGCUGGGAGGGCCUUAGGUAGGGCCUCGCACAAAUUGCGAAGGAAAGCCGACCUUGUUCUGGAGAGCACGUGGUGAGGAAAGCCAGCGACUUGAUGUGAGCAUUUAAACGGGAGGAAGGAAGAUGAGAACUGGUAAGAUUCUUCUCGGCCGGGCGGUGCAGCGGCUCACGCCUGUAAUCCUAGCACUUUGGGAGGCCGAAGCCAGGCGGAUGACUUGAGUUCAGGAUUCGGAAGUUUGAGACCAACCUGGGCAACAUUUCAAAACCCCCGUCUCUACAAAAAAUAUUGUUUAAAAAAAGCCAGGUGUAGUGGCACGCGCCUGUAGUCCCAGCUACUUGGGAGCUGAGCUGGGAGUAUCACUCAGGACGGCUCAGAUUGAGCCCAGGAGUUCCAAGCUGCAGUGAGCUAUGAUCGCACCACUGCACUCCUGCCUGGGUGACACAGACACCGUCUCAAAAAAAA
rnacentral:lncRNA from 1 species